CCUACGGGUGGCAGCAGUGAGGAAUAUUGGUCAAUGGGCGCGAGCCUGAACCAGCCAAGUAGCGUGAAGGAUGACUGCCCUAUGGUUUGUAAACUUCUUUUAUCAGGGAGUAAAGUGAACCACGUGUGCCUUUUUGUAUGUAUUUUAUGCAUAAGAAUCGGCUAACUCCGUGCCAGCAGCCGCGGUAAUACGGAGGAUCCGAGCGUUAUCCGGAUUUAUUGGGUUUAAAGGGAGCGUAGGUGGGUUGUUAAGUCAGUUGUGAAAGUCUGGGGCUCAACCGUAAAAUUGCAGUUGAUCCUGGCAGGCUUGAGUAGAGUAGAGGUGUGCGGAAUUCGUGGUGUAGCGGUGAAAUGCUUAGAUAUCACGAAGAACUCCGAUUGCGAAGGCAGCCUACUGGACUGCGACUGACACUGAGGCUCGAAAGUGUGGGUAUCAAACAGGAUUAGAUACCCGGGUAGUC
rnacentral:rRNA from 1 species